GGCAAGAUGGCCGAGUGGUUAAGGCGUUGUGUUUAGGCCAGCUUAGCAGUCCUUGGCUUUAAGCGUGGAAGACCCGCAAUGGGAAACCUCGUGAGUUCGAAUCUCACUCUUGUCA
rnacentral:tRNA from 1 species